rnacentral:rRNA from 1 species
AUUGAACGCUGGCGGCAUGCCUUACACAUGCAAGUCGAACGGCAGCACGGGAGCAAUCCUGGUGGCGAGUGGCGAACGGGUGAGUAAAGUAUCGGAACGUGCCCAGUCGUGGGGGAUAACGUAGCGAAAGUUACGCUAAUACCGCAUACGAUCUAUGGAUGAAAGCGGGGGAUCGCAAGACCUCGCGCGAUUGGAGCGGCCGAUAUCAGAGUAGGUAGUUGGUGGGGUAAAGGCUCACCAAGCCGACGAUCUGUAGCUGGUCUGAGAGGACGACCAGCCACACUGGGACUGAGACACGGCCCAGACUCCUACGGGAGGCAGCAGUGGGGAAUUUUGGACAAUGGGCGAAAGCCUGAUCCAGCCAUGGCGCGUGCAGGAUGAAGGCCUUCGGGUUGUAAACUGCUUUUGUACGGAACGAAAAGGUUUGGCCUAAUAAGCUGAGCUCAUGACGGUACCGUAAGAAUAAGCACCGGCUAACUACGUGCCAGCCGCCGCAGUAA